rnacentral:rRNA from 1 species
AUUGAACGCUGGCGGCAGGCUUAACACAUGCAAGUCGAGCGGGGGAAGGUAGCUUGCUACCGGACCUAGCGGCGGACGGGUGAGUAAUGCUUAGGAAUCUGCCUAUUAGUGGGGGACAACAUCUCGAAAGGGAUGCUAAUACCGCAUACGUCCUACGGGAGAAAGCAGGGGAUCUUCGGACCUUGCGCUAAUAGAUGAGCCCAAGUCGGAUUAGCUAGUUGGUGGGGUAAAGGCCUACCAAGGCGACGAUCUGUAGCGGGUCUGAGAGGAUGAUCCGCCACACUGGGACUGAGACACGGCCC